ACAUCUGUUGUUCCCAGAGUUGUUAAGGUUAGUCAUUCUGACAGGUGUGAGGUGAUAUCUCAUUGUGGUUUUGAUAAGCCAUUUUUUAAUACACGUUCUAGAAUUUUACUAAGAAUCAAUCAUCUGUUUUUCAGUUUCCAGAAUUCACCAUCUAGAAUGUCACCCUUUGAAAAUGUGGACAUUUGCUGUAUUGAGCUACCUUUUCCUACGAUGGCUGACAAUGGGACUUUCAACUACUUUCGGGGCCUCCCCUAUAUACCCAACUGUACUAUCCCAUCAAAAUAAAGGUCUCACAUCAGUGAA